AUUGAACGCUGGCGGCAUGCUUUACACAUGCAAGUCGAACGGCAGCGCGGGCUUCGGCCUGGCGGCGAGUGGCGAACGGGUGAGUAAUGCAUCGGAACGUGCCCAGUAGUGGGGGAUAGCCCGGCGAAAGCCGGAUUAAUACCGCAUACGACCUGAGGGUGAAAGCGGGGGACCGAAAGGCCUCGCGCUAUUGUAGCGGCCGAUGUCGGAUUAGCUAGUUGGUGGGGUAAAGGCUGACCAAGGCGACGAUCCGUAGCUGGUCUGAGAGGACGACCAGCCACACUGGGAGUGAGACAGGGCCCAGGGGCCUGCGGGAGGCAGCAGUGGGGAAUGUUGGACAAUGGGGGGAACACUGAUCCAGCCAUGCCGCGUGCGGGAAGAAGGCCUUCGGGUUGUAAACCGCUUUUGUUCGGGAAGAAAUCCUCUGGGCUAAUACCCCGGGGGGAUGACGGUACCGGAAGAAUAAGCACCGGCUAACUACGUG
rnacentral:rRNA from 1 species